rnacentral:misc_RNA from 1 species
UACUCUCACACUCUCUAAUUAGUUAGAGAGCGGUGGAUUUGGAUGUUGCCUGGUACUUACUGUCAGGCUCAUCUUAAAUAAAUUAGUGCGACUCUUAGUUAAACAUAGUACGGCGUGAUAAGUAACCCUCGCUGUUUUCUGUCUGAUUAGGAGCUCUGUGCUUCAAACCGUCCUCGGACAACAACUGACA